rnacentral:rRNA from 1 species
CAGUCGCCACGGGAAUACAGAGGGUGCGAGCGUUAAUCGGAUUUACUGGGCGUAAAGCGUGCGUAGGCGGCUUUUUAAGUCGGAUGUGAAAUCCCUGAGCUUAACUUAGGAAUUGAAUUCGAUACUGGGAAGCUAGAGUAUGGGAGAGGAUGGUAGAAUUCCAGGUGUAGCGGUGAAAUGCGUAGAGAUCUGGAGGAAUACCGAUGGCGAAGGCAGCCAUCUGGCCUAAUACUGACGCUGAGGUACGAAAGCAUGGGGAGCAAACAGGAUUAGAUACCCGUGUAGUCCCUGUCUCUUAUAC